rnacentral:rRNA from 1 species
UACGGAGGAUGCAAGCGUUAUCCGGAUUCACUGGGUUUAAAGGGUGCGUAGGUGGGUUGGUAAGUCAGUGGUGAAAUCUCCGUGCUUAACAUGGAAACUGCCAUUGAUACUACUGAUCUUGAAUUUUCAGGAGGUAAGCGGAAUAUGUCAUGUAGCGGUGAAAUGCUUAGAUAUGACAUAGAACACCAAUUGCGAAGGCAGCUUACUACAGGAAUAUUGACACUGAUGCACGAAAGCGUGGGGAUCAAACAGG